rnacentral:rRNA from 1 species
GUGCUGACACAUGCAAGUCGAGCGGUAAGGCCUGUGCGGGGUACACGAGCGGCGUACGGGAGAGUCACACGUGGGUGAUCUGCCCUGCACUUCGGGAUAAGCAUGGCGAAACUGGGUCUUAUACCGGAUAUGACCUCCUAUCGCAUGGUGGGUGGUGGAAAGAUUUAUAGGUGCAGGAUGGGCCCGCGGCCUAUCAGCUUGUUGGUGGGGUAAUGGCACUACCAAGGCUACGACGGGUAGCCUGACCUGAGAGGGUGACCGGCCACACUGGCGACUGAUGCACACGGCCCAGACUCGUACGGGUAGGCAGCUGUGGUGGAAUAUUGCACAAUGGGCGCACAAGCCUGAUGCAGCGACGCCGUGUGAGGGACUGACGGCCUUGCGGGUGUGUACAACCUACUUUACAGU